rnacentral:rRNA from 1 species
AGUGAACGCUGGCGGUAGGCCUAACACAUGCAAGUCGAACGGCAGCACAGUAAGAGCUUGCUCUUACGGGUGGCGAGUGGCGGACGGGUGAGGAAUACAUCGGAAUCUACUUUUUCGUGGGGGAUAACGUAGGGAAACUUACGCUAAUACCGCAUACGACCUACGGGUGAAAGCAGGGGAUCUUCGGACCUUGCGCGAUUGAAUGAGCCGAUGUCGGAUUAGCUAGUUGGCGGGGUAAAGGCCCACCAAGGCGACGAUCCGUAGCUGGUCUGAGAGGAUGAUCAGCCACACUGGAACUGAGACACGGUCCAGACUCCUACGGGAGGCAGCAGUGGGGAAUAUUGGACAAUGGCGCAAGCCUGAUCCAGCCAUACCGCGUGGGUGAAGAAGGCCUUCGGGUUGUAAAGCCCUUUUGUUGGGAAAGAAAAGCAGCAGGUUAAUACCCCGCUGUUCUGACGGUACCCAAAGAAUAAGCACCGGCUAACUUCGUG